GACGAGGGACCUAGCGUUGCUCGGAAUUAUUGGGCGUAAAGCGGGUGUAGGUGGCUUGGUAAGUCGGGUGUGAAAGCCCAGGGCUCAACCCUGGAAGUGCAUUCGAUACUGCUUAGCUUGAGUGCGAGAGAGGUUAAUAGAAUACCUGGUGUAGUGGUGAAAUACGUAGAUAUCAGGUGGAACACCGGAGGCGAAGGCGGUUAACUGGCUCGACACUGACACUGAGACCCGAAAGUGCGGGGAUCAAACAGG
rnacentral:rRNA from 1 species